UACGGAGGAUGCAAGCGUUAUCCGGAAUGAUUGGGCGUAAAGCGUCCGCAGGUGGCUAUGUAAGUCUGCUGUGAAAGAGUGAGGCUCAACCUCAUAAGAGCAGUGGAAACUACAUAGCUAGAGUGCGUUCGGGGCAGAGGGAAUUCCUGGUGUAGCGGUGAAAUGCGUAGAUAUCAGGAAGAACACCGGUGGCGAAAGCGCUCUGCUAGGCCGCAACUGACACUGAGGGACGAAAGCUAGGGGAGCGAAUGGG
rnacentral:rRNA from 1 species